UCCUCCGUAGUCUAGUUGGUUAAGACACUUGGUUGCCAGCCAAGUAUCACAGGUUCGAAUCCUGUCGGGGGAG
rnacentral:tRNA from 1 species